GGACAGCGAGACUCUAUCUCAAAAAAAUAAAAAUAAAAAUAAUAAAUUUAUUUUUAUUCUGUAUUCUGGCAAACACGGAUUCAUAUACUUUGCAGGAAAGACUCUUAAUAUGUACAAGGAGGCAAGAGCAAGUUCUGAGCAGUGAUCACAGCCAUCAGCAUAUUCCAAUGGAGGGUAAAUCGGUAAAAUUUCAUGGUGAAUAAAAAUGAUUUCCCACUCACCGUGCUCAGCGGACUGGAAAGGUCACCAGCCGCCGCCCACACACGGUCCGGAACCAGCCUGUGUGCCUGCCUUGUGCAGCCUUUGUCCUUUUGCUGAUGUGGUUUAUCCUGAACUUGCAUUUGUUCCCCAAGCUUCCCUUUCCGUGUUUUUUUGCUAUCGUAUGUGAAAAACUCUUACCAGGCAGAAUCCAACACGUGUGCUCUGCACAAAAAUCAGUUCACCUGAAGAACAAGUGACCACAGGGCAGGCUCUAUAAUACCUUUUCCAAACCACAGGGCAGGUCUGAAACGGUGGCUUACUUGUUAUUUAAUAAACUGGCAUUUCCUCCACAGGGCAGGUCUGAAACGGUGGCUUACUCGUUACUUAAUAAACUGGCAUUUCCUCCACAGGGCAGGUCUGAAACGGUGGCUUACUCGUUAUUUAAUAAACUGGCAUUUAUUUCCUGGUCAUGCCACUCUGGCUGCACUUCUAAACUUGGCCUUCUAA